CGGCAACGCGACGACGACAAUCAAAACAAACUUCAAAUAAAUUAUUGCGAAGAAGGGUUGUUAUGUAUUAUCCACUGCAUAUGAAUUGAAUUCAGUUUGAAGAGAUGAAAACAAAGGCUUUAUUGUUAAAAACGCUUCUGCUGAGCAAAUUUGUAGUUUUACUUGUCGCGUCUUGACAUGUUUGCGUUGUACACGAGACGUGAAAAUCUCUGGUUUGCCGUUGUAAAAAGCACUAACACAACGUCUCUAACUCCCGUGGGGCUUUUAAUUAUUCAUUUCUUUUGUACGAGAU